rnacentral:tRNA from 3 species
GGGGUCAUGGCGCAAUUGGUAGCGCAGCGCUUUUGCAAGGCGAAGGUUCCGGGUUCGAGUCCCGGUGAUUCCA